CACUCUUAACGGGGUGGCUUUUCAGAAGUGUAAAAAGCUUCUGGAAUAAGGGCUGGGCAAGACCGGUGCCANCNGCCGCGGUAACACCGGCAGCUCAAGUGGUAGCCGCUUUUAUUGGGCCUAAAGCGUCCGUAGCCGGUCUGAUAAGUCUCUGGUGAAAUCCCGCAGCUUAACUGUGGGAAUUGCUGGAGAUACUAUCAUGACUCGAGGUCGGGAGAGGCUGGAGGUACUCCCAGGGUAGGGGUGAAAUCCUGUAAUCCUGGGAGGACCACCUGUGGCGAAGGCGUCCAGCUGGAACGAACCUGACGGUGAGGGACGAAAGCCAGGGGCGCGAACCGGAUUAGAUACCCGGGUAGUCCUGGCCGUAAACGAUGUGGACUUGGUGUUGGGAUGGCUUCGAGCUGCCCCAGUGCCGAAGGGAAGCUGUUAAGUCCACCGCCUGGGAAGUACGGCCGCAAGGCUGAAACUUAAAGGAAUUGGCGGGGGAGCACCACAACGCGUGGAGCCUGCGGUUUAAUUGGAUUCAACGCCGGA
rnacentral:rRNA from 1 species